rnacentral:tRNA from 1 species
GGCCCAUUAGCUCAGUUGGAGCGUCGUGCUAAUACCGCGAAGGUCGCGGGUUCGAUCCCCUCAUGGGCCA